rnacentral:hammerhead_ribozyme from 1 species
AUCCAGAUGACGAGUCCCCAAUCGGACGAAAUGUGUAUUCUGGAU